rnacentral:lncRNA from 1 species
UGCUUCCAGAAGUCUACCUCCACGACCCUUUCUUUAGACUGACGGCGAGCCCGUCUGUUAACUUCGGAGCACUGGGAACGAUCUUGGGACAUUACAUGACCCUCGGCUUGAGCGCUCACGGCGCCUACUACGACUACAAGGGCAACCUCGACGAGUGGUGGACGCCAAAGAUGCGGCGCGGGUACGCGGCCGGGGCUGUGUGUUUCCGCAAUCAGGCCGACUGGUUUGUGAACCCGGUUACGGGCAAAGCGGUAGGUGCAGCCUUUUCUCGCGUACGUGCAAUUUUUGUCUUUGCAU